CCUACGGGCGGCAGCAGUAGGGAAUAUUGCUCAAUGGGGGGAACCCUGAAGCAGCAACGCCGCGUGGAGGAUGAAGGUUUUCGGAUUGUAAACUCCUUUUGUUAGAGAAGAUAAUGACGGUAUCUAACGAAUAAACACCGGCUAACUCCGUGCCAGCAGCCGCGGUAAUACGGAGGGUGCAAGCGUUACUCGGAAUCACUGGGCGUAAAGAGCGCGUAGGCGGGAUAGCAAGUCAGAUGUGAAAGCCUAUGGCUUAACCAUAGAACUGCAUUUGAAACUGUUAUUCUAGAGUAUGGGAGAGGUAGGUGGAAUUCUUGGUGUAGGGGUAAAAUGCGUAGAGAUCAAGAGGAAUACUCAUUGCGAAGGCGACCUGCUAGAACAUAACUGACGCUGAUGCGCGAAAGCGUGGGGAGCAAACAGGAUUAGAUACCCUUGUAGUC
rnacentral:rRNA from 1 species